rnacentral:rRNA from 1 species
CCUACGGGAGGCAGCAGUGAGGAAUAUUGGACAAUGGGUGCAAGCCUGAUCCAGCCAUCCCGCGUGCAGGAAGACGGCCCUAUGGGUUGUAAACUGCUUUUAUACAGGAAGAAACCUAGAUACGUGUAUUUAGCUGACGGUACUGUAUGAAUAAGCACCGGCUAACUCCGUGCCAGCAGCCGCGGUAAUACGGAGGGUGCAAGCGUUAUCCGGAAUCAUUGGGUUUAAAGGGUCCGUAGGCGGUUUGUUAAGUCAGUGGUGAAAGCCCAUCGCUCAACGGUGGAACGGCCAUUGAUACUGACAGACUUGAAUUAUUAGGAAGUAACUAGAAUAUGUAGUGUAGCGGUGAAAUGCUUAGAGAUUACAUGGAAUACCAAUUGCGAAGGCAGGUUACUACUAAUAUAUUGACGCUGAUGGACGAAAGCGUGGGUAGCGAACAGGAUUAGAUACCCGAGUAGU